AAGUCGUAACAAGGUUUCCGUAGGUGAACCUGCGGAAGGAUCAUUAUUGAAUAGUAUAUGGGCGCUGUGCUGGCCUUUCGGGGCAUGUGCACGCGUUUGUUAUUAUUAUCAUCUUUUGUGAACCCAGUGUAGGCUUUGAACGCGUCGAUGAGACUCUUUGGGUCUUGUUUACAAGUUUGAAGACUAUUUUAUAAACCAUAUAAAAAUCUUAGAAUGUCUAUCUUUUACUUGACGCAAGUCUCGUAGAAAACCUAUACAACUUUCAGCAACGGAUCUCUUGGCUCUC
rnacentral:misc_RNA from 1 species